rnacentral:rRNA from 1 species
GACGAACGCUGGCGGCGUGCUUAACACAUGCAAGUCGAACGGUAAGGCCCUUCGGGGUACACGAGUGGCGAACGGGUGAGUAACACGUGGGUGAUCUGCCCUGCACUUCGGGAUAAGCCUGGGAAACUGGGUCUAAUACCGGAUAGGACCACUGCCUGCAUGGGUGGUGGUGGAAAGCUUUUGCGGUGUGGGAUGGGCCCGCGGCCUACCAGCUUGUUGGUGGGGUGAUGGCCUACCAAGGCGACGACGGGUAGCCGGCCUGAGAGGGUGACCGGCCACACUGGGACUGAGAUACGGCCCAGACUCCUACGGGAGGCAGCAGUGGGGAAUAUUGCACAAUGGGCGCAAGCCUGAUGCAGCCACGCCGCGUGAGGGAUGACGGCCUUCGGGUUGUAAACCUCUUUCAGCACCGACGAAGCGCAAGUGACGGUAGGUGCAGAAGAAGGACCGGCCAACUACGUGCCAGCCGCCGCAGUAA